UUUAUGGAGAGUUUGAUCCUGGCUCAGGAUGAACGCUGGCGGCGUGCCUAAUACAUGCAAGUCGAGCGAACGGACGAGAAGCUUGCUUCUCUGAUGUUAGCGGCGGACGGGUGAGUAACACGUGGAUAACCUACCUAUAAGACUGGGAUAACUUCGGGAAACCGGAGCUAAUACCGGAUAAUAUUUUGAACCGCAUGGUUCAAAAGUGAAAGACGGUCUUGCUGUCACUUAUAGAUGGAUCCGCGCUGCAUUAGCUAGUUGGUAAGGUAACGGCUUACCAAGGCAACGAUGCAUAGCCGACCUGAGAGGGUGAUCGGCCACACUGGAACUGAGACACGGUCCAGACUCCUACGGGAGGCAGCAGUAGGGAAUCUUCCGCAAUGGGCGAAAGCCUGACGGAGCAACGCCGCGUGAGUGAUGAAGGUCUUCGGAUCGUAAAACUCUGUUAUUAGGGAAGAACAUAUGUGUAAGUAACUGUGCACAUCUUGACGGUACCUAAUCAGAAAGCCACGGCUAACUACGUGCCAGCAGCCGCGGUAAUACGUAGGUGGCAAGCGUUAUCCGGAAUUAUUGGGCGUAAAGCGCGCGUAGGCGGUUUUUUAAGUCUGAUGUGAAAGCCCACGGCUCAACCGUGGAGGGUCAUUGGAAACUG
rnacentral:rRNA from 1 species